GAGGGUAUAGCUCAGUGGUAGAGUGCAUGCCUAGUAUGCACGAGGUCCUGGUUCAAUCCUGAGUACUUCCA
rnacentral:tRNA from 1 species